GCUUUUCAGUAGUUUACUACAGAAAAUGACUGAGCGGCGAACGGGUGAGUAACGCGUGAGCAAUCUACCUUAGUUACUGGGAUAGCCCGAGGAAACUCGGAUUAAUACCGGAUAUUCUUAUUUUUUCACAUGAAGUUUUAAGGAAAGGUCAGCCGAACUAAGAUGAGCUCGCGUUCUAUCAGCUAGUUGGUGGGGUAAAAGCCUACCAAGGCUACGACGGAUAGCUGGUCUGAGAGGACGAUCAGCCACACUGGGACUGAGACACGGCCCAGACUCCUACGGGAGGCUGCAGCAGGGAAUAUUGCGCAAUGAGCGAAAGCUUGACGCAGCGACACCGCGUGUGGGAUGACGGUUCUAGGAUUGUAAACCACUUUCAGGAGGGAAGAAAAUGACGGUACCUCCACAAGAAGACCCGGCCAACUACGUGCCAGCAGCCGCGGUAAUACGUAGGGGUCAAGCGUUGUCCGGAUUUAUUGGGCGUAAAGAGCUCGUAGGCGGUUCAACAAGUCGGUCGUAAAAGUUUAGGGCUCAACCCUAAAAUGUCGAUCGAUACUGUUGUGACUAGGAUACGGUAGAGGUGAAUGGAAUUCCGAGUGUAGCGGUGAAAUGCGUAGAUAUUCGGAGGAACACCAAUUGCGAAGGCAGUUCACUGGACCGUGAUCGACGCUGAGGAGCGAAAGCUAGGGGAGCAAACAGGAUUAGAUACCCUGGUAGUCCUAGCUGUAAACGAUGGAUACUAGAUGUAGGAACUGGAUUGACGGUUUCUGUAUCGUAGCUAACGCGUUAAGUAUCCCGCCUGGGGAGUACGGUCGCAAGACUAAAACUCAAAGGAAUUGACGGGACCCCGCACAAGCGGCGGAGCAUGCGGCUUAAUUCGAUGAUACCCGUAGAACCUUACCUGGACUUGACAUAUAGGGAAAAACUAAAGAAAUUUAGUGUGCGUAAGCGCCCUAUACAGGUGGUGCAUG
rnacentral:rRNA from 1 species